GACGAACGCUGGCGGCGUGCCUAACACAUGCAAGUCGAACGGUCCGGCGCUCAACCGACCCUCAGUCUAACUGUAGGGGAAGUUGAGUGCCGGGUAGUGGCGGACGGGUGAGUAACGCGUGGGCAACCAACCCUGUACAGUGGGAUAACACCGGGAAACCGGUGCUAAUACCGCAUGACACCUAUAUGGUGCAUACCGUAUAGGUUAAAGGAUUUAACCGGUACAGGACGGGCCCGCGUCCCAUUAGCUAGUUGGUGAGGUAACGGCCCACCAAGGCGACGAUGGGUAGCCGACCUGAGAGGGUGACCGGCCACACUGGGACUGAGACACGGCCCAGACUCCUACGGGAGGCAGCAGUGGGGAAUAUUGCGCAAUGGGGGGAACCCUGACGCAGCGACGCCGCGUGAGCGACGAAGGCCUUCGGUCGUAAAGCUCUGUUCUUGGGGACGAAGGAAAUGACGGUACCCAAGGAGAAAGCCCCGGCUAACUACGUG
rnacentral:rRNA from 1 species